AACGAACGCUGGCGGCAUGCCUAACACAUGCAAGUCGAACGAGACCUUCGGGUCUAGUGGCGCACGGGUGCGUAACGCGUGGGAAUCUGCCCUUGGGUUCGGGAUAACAGUUGGAAACGACUGCUAAUACCGGAUGAUGUCUUCGGACCAAAGAUUUAUCGCCCAGGGAUGAGCCCGCGUCGGAUUAGCUAGUUGGUGAGGUAAAGGCUCACCAAAGCGACGAUCCGUAGCUGGUCUGAGAGGAUGAUCAGCCACACUGGGACUGAGACACGGCCCAGACUCCUACGGGAGGCAGCAGUGGGGAAUAUUGGACAAUGGGCGAAAGCCUGAUCCAGCAAUGCCGCGUGAGUGAUGAAGGCCUUAGGGUUGUAAAGCUCUUUUACCCGGGAUGAUAAUGACAGUACCGGGAGAAUAAGCCCCGGCUAACUCCGUGCCAGCCGCCGCCGUAAUAC
rnacentral:rRNA from 1 species